rnacentral:rRNA from 1 species
UACGGAGGGGGCAAGCGUUAUUCGGAAUUAUUGGGCGUAAAAGGCGCGUAGGCGGCUAGAUGUGUCAAAGGUGAAAUCCCUCGGCUCAACUGAGGAACUGCCUUUGAAACUGUCUGGCUUGAGGCCGGGAGAGGGUAGCGGAAUUCCCAGUGUAGCGGUGAAAUGCGUAGAUAUUGGGAGGAACACCAGUGGCGAAGGCGGCUACCUGGCCUGUUCUUGACGCUGAGGCGCGAAAGCUAGGGGAGCAAACGGG